CACGUGCUGCAGCAUGUCAUCAAGCUGCAUGCACUUCAACCAAAACAUGUAACAGCAGCAUGGUUGGCCAAUUUCAACACCUUCUCCUAUAAACGAGACCGAUGAUUGAGUUCCUGGCGACGUCAUGGAGGUGUUCGACGAGCUAUGUUGGAAACUGGCCGUGAUCGUUAAGGUUUCCGAAGGAAACAACUUUUUUGUGAGGAUUCUUGGAUCGAAUAGCGAACUCGAAGUACAUCGAUCUCGAUUGCGUGUUUGACAAUCUUGGGAAGAUGGCAAGUGGUUCCUCGUUGGAAAGGGUUCGUCAAAGUCCUUAUCGCCUAAGAGAAAAAUAUCGUUGCUUGGCUACUUGGAUGUUAGUGGACAUAAGAAGAGGGUAAUUGAAAAAGGUAUUGUUGGUGGUAAAAGGAUAAUAGUUCGACUUCCUUCACCAACUUCUAAAAAGGUAGAUGCAUUUGUUUCCCCAAACAAUGUACUGGGUGAAAGAUGUAGGCCUUCUUCAUUUAAUAGAACUGAUGAUAUCGUGAGUUAUGCAUCAUCUGUUGGUAGCUUUAGUGUUUUAGGUAAUAAUGGUCUUAACUUGUCUCCUAGUUAUGUAACAAAAGGUUAUGAAAACUUAGAGGAUUAUUGUAGCGAUGCCGACUCUUAUUGGGAAAGGAGAUGUAGAAAAGAAGGAAGUUUUGGUUACAGUAGUGGAGGAUCGGGAACGAAUUUCCACAGGUCAGAACUACACGUCUACCAGCAAGCUCUUGAGGCAUUGUAUAUGUCUGGGCCUUUGACAUGGGAAGAAGAAGCAAAGAAUACCUCAUUGUCACUAUUGGAGGCAUCAAUACAUAGCUUCAAAAGCCAUGAUUGGGUUUAAGUUUGGCACCUCUUGCAGUUGACAACCUGGCAACAUCCAUGGUUUAUUCCCUAAAGAGUCCCUUAAACCAUACUUUUGGUAUGAAUAUUUUUAUAAAUCUUUUCAAAUUUUGAUUUUUCUUUUGAAAUAAUGGUAUAGGUCAUUAUAUCUGAUGUAGAUGCCGAUAAAUCUAGAUAAUCUUAAAAGAUGCGUUUCAGUUUUAGUAUGUAAAUUGAAAGGUUGUUGCACUUAAAAAGUAUUCAAGUUGUAAUAGCCAUAAAUUUUGGUAUUUCUGGAUGACCAUAUCCAAUAUUGGAACAUUUUAGGCUGCAUAAUUGAUAAAAUGCUCUGAACCUUCCCUACUCUCUCUGCAGAAAGACUUCUUGUAUUAACUGUCUGAGUAGACAAGUUUAAUUUGUUGCCUUAAGCUACAUUCUAAUUGUAUAAACAAGGUGAUGUUGAACUAGUUGAAAUUGAAGUUUCCAUACCAUGAUCAAAUGGUGUUUUAACAUCAUUGUUGGUUGCUUGAUAUUGCGAGAUGGGUAUUUUUGAGCCCCUUCAAGCAACUCCCAGUUUGAAAAUCAUCACCUGCCCAUGAAAGUUCUGUAAGAAAAAUUCUUGCAUUAUGUACUAUUAUUUUUUAUCUUUUUUUAUGGAUUCUGUUUGAGAAAAGAUCAUUGUUGUGUUUAACGGGUUGGUUUUCCCUGAUUAUGUACAGUGCAUGAGAAUCCAUCAUACAGGUAACAUGUUUCCCUAAUCUUGAUCAGUGUUUGAUGCUUUGAGAGACUUUUUUUGAUUGAUGUUUGACUUUAGAAAUUCGAAUAUUGGAUUCCUAUUUAUUGUUGUUACAUGCAGUAUAAGCUUCAGUUCAUGCCUUUCGGUACUAGUUAGAUUCCUCCCAAAUCCCAAUUGGUAAGUUCUGUUUGCUAGUAUUUGCUAUUUGCAUGGGUUAUUCCACCUGUUUGCACUCGUAAUAUAUCAUGGUUAACUGGCCUUCACUUUAGACACCUCCAUGUUUCUUGUCACAUAUGAAACUACAGAUCAUGAGGCAGAGACGGGUCUGUAGAGUAGCCCCAAUUCUUGUUCCUUUUGAAGUCAAAUUUCAAACCUAUACUCCUCUUGGUAUUGGUUUUUUGCAUAAUGCCAUUGUUUAAGUCUUAAUCUGGAACAUGAAUCCAAAUAUUUUAACACAAUCAUUUCUUUAAUAGAAAAACAAAUUGAAUUUUAUUUUUCAAGGGCAAUCUCAUAACUCUUUUAGGAUUCCAAAGAAUGCCAAUGUCGUGGAGGGAAUGAUAAGGCAUUUUCAGGAAUUGUUUCAAGUGAAGUAUUGUUUAUUGAGCUUCUGUCAUGUAAAUAUUGUUAGUUUUUUGUUCACAAGUGUGAGAUUGAAAUGUUAGGCAUUUUCCAUCACUUCAGCCCCGACAGUAAUUUCUUCCUCAAUUGUUCUCUACCAUCUGUUUUGCCUAUAUCAACUUUUGAUGUUUUCAUGUUCACUGUGAUGUUUUUUUUCUAGAAACUUUCUACUUUGGGAGAAAAGGAAUUUCUUUUGGUCCAUCUACAAGUAAUUGAUUUAAAAUAUUAUUAUUCCUGAUAAGAAUUGAUUAGAAAUAUUAAUAUGCUUUAUAGAAGAAAAGAAUUGAUGCUUUUGCUGCCAAUAUUUCAGUUGCCAAACAAACGCGUAAUUGUUCACUGAAGCUAGUUAAUAGUACAUGUUAAUGCUGAGUUUUUGCUCAUAGGUUGAACUUAUAAUUAAUUAAUGAAGAAAAAUGUUACAUUGGACCUUAAUAAAUGGAAAAAGCACAUUAGUUUGUUACGUAAGCAAUGGAACAAAACAGUUUUAGUUCGUAUGUGAUUCGAUUUUUGGACAUUAAAGCAGAGAACUUGAGUUAUUAGUUUUCUUAGUGUAAAAUAUGUUGUCUCCGGCUGGUUCCCAUUGGAGUUAUACCACACCUUCACAGUGUUUUUUUGCCUACAAAUUUAUCGACCACCAGGGGACCUUUGCAGCCAUUGUUGGCAUAACCAACAAUAAAUGAGAGCACAUGGUUUCUUCUGAUUGUUGAUUUCUGCAACCGAGCUUCCUUUUCUGGCUAUGAGUUCAAUGGGUCGUUUGCCUUUUGGAACCGAGAAAUUGUUCACUGUCAAGGAUUCAAUUAUCUAGCCUGGUAAAGGAUUGUGAUCAUCUUCAGAAGUUGGUCUUGGGAAGAUAUAAGGACCUUCUUUGAAGUUUCCAUUAUUUAGUAUAGAUUGGUUGCAAAUUGUUGAAUCAAACAACAGGUUAGUGAAUUAUGAACUUCUAUUUCAAUCAUAAAAUGUCAAUGUGAUCGAGUUUAUAUACCUCGAGUACGUUUUGGAUUGUACAAGGUCUUCAAUGCAACUGAAUCAACAAUGGGGCCACAAGCUACAUUUGUCCUCUAGCCUGGAUUAUGUAUUGGGAUCUCAAUUACAUGCGCAUCAACUUGGAAUGCCUAUGCAUAUGAAUCCCACCCAUUGCUAGUAUCUUCAGAACUAGUUUCUGAAUGCAAAUUUUAGGUUGUCGAGUAGGGUUUAUUUUUCCAUAUAUGCAGAUGACAUUGGUUUUCUUUCACAGCAAGUUCUGGAAACCUGCUGAUAUGCUAGAGUCAGAAAAACUUGCAAAAGGAAUACAUGAUUCCUUACU